rnacentral:snoRNA from 1 species
AUGCACAUUUCAUUGACCUGCUUUUGUUACAAGUGACAAGCAGUGUUAUUUCUGAUGUGCUAAAAUAGUUGAAGGCUAAUUAGCAGCGUAGCUGUAUGUAGUUACUGCUGCCAGUCUCCUUCGUACAAAG